UGAGCAAUCUGCCCUUCUCAUCGGAAUAAGCGUUGGAAACGACGUCUAAUGCCGAAUACGACCUCCUUUCGCAUGAUCGGAGGUGGAAAGCUCCGGCGGAGAAGGAUGAGCUCGCGGCCUAUCAGCUAGUUGGUGUGGGUAAUGGCCCACCAAGGCGACGACGUGUAGCCGGCUGAGAGGGUGACCGGCCACACUGGGACUGAAACNCGGCCAGACUCCUACGGGAGC
rnacentral:rRNA from 1 species